rnacentral:rRNA from 1 species
UACGGGGGGUGCGAGCGUUGUCCGGAAUCACUGGGCGUAAAGGGCGCGUAGGCGGUUUGGUAAGGCUGUGGUGAAAGCCCGGGGCUCAACCCCGGGUCUGCCGUGGCGACUGUCGGACUGGAGGGCUCGAGAGGCAGACGGAAUUCCGGGUGUAGCGGUGGAAUGCGUAGAGAUCCGGAAGAAGACCGGUGGCGAAGGCGGCCUGCUGGCG